rnacentral:tRNA from 1 species
UCAGCUUCUUCAUAAGCUCCCACACGAAUUGCUUGAUUCACUGGUUAGACGAUUGGGUCUGUAGCUCAGUUGGUUAGAGCGCACCCCUGAUAAGGGUGAGGUCGGCAGUUCGAAUCUGCCCAGACCCACCAAUUGUUGGUGUGCUGCGUGAUCCGAUACGGGGCCAUAGCUCAGCUGGGAGAGCGCCUGCUUUGCACGCAGGAGGUCAGGAGUUCGAUCCUCCUUGGCUCCACCAUCUAAAACAAUCGUCAAAGGCUUGAAAAUGAUUGUUCGGGAAUAAACAUG